rnacentral:rRNA from 1 species
GACGAAGGUUGCGAGCGUUGUUCGGAAUCACUGGGCUUAAAGCGCAUGUAGGCGGAUAAGUAAGCGCUUUGUGAAAGCCCCCGGCUCAACCGGGGAAUUGCUUGGCGAACUGCUUAUCUUGAGGCAAGUAGGGGUGCAUGGAACUCUUGGUGGAGCGGUGGAAUGCGUAGAUAUCAAGAGGAACGCCUGCGGUGAAAACGGUGCACUGGGCUUGCCCUGACGCUCAGAUGCGAAAGCGUGGGGAG